rnacentral:tRNA from 1 species
AGCCCAUGAGCUUGCUAAAGCAUAUAUUUUGAAAAUAUAAGAAAGGACCCCUCCUAUGGGCUU